rnacentral:rRNA from 1 species
CUGAACCAGCCAAGUAGCGUGAAGGAUGACUGCCCUAUCGGUUGUAAACUUCAUUUAUACGGGAAUAAAGUGAGCCACGUGUGCCUUUUUGUAAGUACCGUAUGAAUAAGGAUCGGCUAACUCCGUGCCAGCAGCCGCGGUAAUACGGAGGAUCCGAGCGUUAUCCGGAUUUAUUGGGUUUAACGGGAGCGUAGGCGGACGCUUAAGUCAGUUGUGAAAGUUUGCGG